rnacentral:piRNA from 1 species
UGAGUGCUGUGUGGAAGAUACUAGCCCU